rnacentral:misc_RNA from 1 species
GUAGGUGAACCUGCGGAAGGAUCAUUAAAGAGAUAGGGUCUUCACGGCCCGACCUCCAACCCUCUGUUGUUAAAACUACCUUGUUGCUUUGGCGGGACCGUCUCGGUCUCCGAGCGCACCAACCCUCGGGUUGGUGAGCGCCCGCCAGAGUCCAACCAAACUCUUGUAUUAAACCAGUCGUCUGAGUAUAAAAUUUUAAUUAAAUUAAAACUUUCAACAACGGAUCUCUUGGUUCUC